GACGAACGCUGGCGGCGUGCUUAACACAUGCAAGUCGAGGGGUAACAAGAGAAAAGCUUGCUUUUCUUGUUGACGACCGGCGCACGGGUGAGUAACGCGUAUCCAACCUGCCUAUAACUAGGGAAUAACCUUGCGAAAGUAAGACUAAUGCCCUAUGACUUCCUUUGGCGGCAUCAAAAAAGGAAUAAAGAUUUAUCGGUUAUAGAUGGGGAUGCGUCUGAUUAGCUUGUUGGCGGGGUAACGGCCCACCAAGGCAACGAUCAGUAGGGGUUCUGAGAGGAAGGUCCCCCACAUUGGAACUGAGACACGGUCCAAACUCCUACGGGAGGCAGCAGUGAGGAAUAUUGGUCAAUGGGCGGAAGCCUGAACCAGCCAAGUAGCGUGCAGGAUGACGGCCCUAUGGGUUGUAAACUGCUUUUAUACAGGGAUAAAGUUAGCCACGUGUGGUUAUUUGCAGGUACUGUAUGAAUAAGGACCGGCUAAUUCCGUGCCAGCAGCCGCGGUAA
rnacentral:rRNA from 1 species